GGUCCGCUGGCUCAAUGGCAGAGCGUCUGACUACGACAUCUCAAAGAUCCUCUGAUCUCGAGAGCUCCAGUAAUCAGGAGGUUCCAGGUUCGACCCCUGGGUGGAUCG
rnacentral:tRNA from 1 species